AGCUUUAUAGUCAAAUUAUGAUUUUAGACUGCAAUUCUAAAGUUAGGAUUAAAAAUAUUAAUAUCCUUAAAGCUU
rnacentral:tRNA from 1 species